AGCAGCCGCGGUAAUUCCAGCUCCAAUAGCGUAUAUUAAAGUUGUUGCAGUUAAAAAGCUCGUAGUUGAAUUUCAGGCCUGGCUGGACGGUCCGCCCUUCGGGUGAGUACUGUCUGUGGUCGGGUCCUACCUUCUGGCGAAGCGUCAUGGCCUUAACCGGCCGUGGCGGGGAACCAGGACUUUUACUGUGAAAAAAUUAGAGUGUUCAAAGCAGGCAAUCGCUUGGAUACAUUAGCAUGGAAUAAUGGAAUAGGACAAUGGUUCUAUUUGUUGGUUUCUAGGACCGUUGUAAUGAUUAAUAGGGAUAGUUGGGGGCAUUAGUAUUCAAUUGUCAGAGGUGAAAUUCUUGGAUUUAUUGAAGACUAACUACUGCGAAAGCAUUUGCCAAGGAUGUUUUCAUUAAUCAAGAACGAAAGUUAGGGGAUCGAAGACGAUCAGAUACCGUCGUAGUCUUAACCAUAAACUAUGCCGACUAGGGAUCGGAUGAUGUUAAUUUUUAAUGACUCAUUCGGCGCCUUAC
rnacentral:rRNA from 1 species